CACAAAUGUUUUUUGAAAGUUCUUUUUGAUUUGUUUUUCUCUUUUAAAAACCAUGCUUCAACGUUACAUACAGCAGAAAUAAAUAAAAAAACAAGUUUUGUGGCUAAAUAGGCUUCAUGAAAUCAACAGCUUCUUUUAUUACUAUAGCAAAAAGAGCUGAGGUACAAUCUAUUGUCUUCAGCUCUGUUCGCAAGGAGGGGGUUCCCCUAGAGGCAUUGAUGGAGGCCUCCCUGCUGGCCCUCGCAGCUCAGCCUCCCAGGCCAAGCGGCACAUAACCUUAACUGCACAGUUCUGACUUGGAUUGUACCCCAACCCCGUGCUGGCUAUUUGUGAAAAUAAAACCCUGCACUCAAGGACAGGACCACACGGUUAAGGUCAGCCCCACAUGAGGGGCAGUACACAAUGACCUCACAUAGUUUACCCAGGGAUCCCCCACCUUUACAGAAGCAGUGCUGGAAGACUAAGGAUUAUGCCCCUGGUUUUCUUGUCAUUGGUACAAAAUGACAAAACAAGAACACUAAAGACAGUACAUAUAUCUCUACCUGGAGCUCUUUCUCGAACUUCUUUGCCACCGAAACCUGCGUUUGCCAGUGAGCAGUGCGAACUCACCGACUGUCCCUCUCCCAUGGAAUUCAUGUGCCACUCAGGCGUGACCUAUUGCAAAUUUACCUCCGUUUAUAAAGGCAUAUUCCUUUUUUAACGGCAAGACCGGGGGGUGGGGGUGGGGGAAUAUAUCCACAUUUAUAAUCUAUCACAGUAAACCAGAAAAGAAGCCCAGCCUCCUUCAGUUCAUCACCAUGACACUUAGAUUAAAUAAUCUGCAUACAUUGAUCUAUCCAAAAUAUCAUAAUGCAAUAAACUAUUGUCACUAUUUUUAAUAAACUAUCUUGGCAAUCAUCACACAGGAAAUAUUAAGGUCCUACAAAGUGCAUGCUUUCAAACAAGCUUUGGUUGUCAGGAAAAAGCAAAACAAAUUAUAGCACUGGGCUAAGGAAAAGUGCUACAGAAAUAAAAAUUGGCAUGUGCCAUUAAUAACUUUGCUUCACUUUGCUUUAUUUCGGUUUCUAUCAACCGGUGUCUUAAGCAAUUUCUGCUUAAAAGGAUGGAGCAGCUUUACAUUGCCUGGUCAUUUUUUAAAUAGCCACUCUUUCCUGUUUAAGUUUUUCCUCCCUUAUAUAUGCCAUAUUUAGUAUCCUCGCACCCCACCAAAUAGCUGAGACUUUUCAAAAUUAUUAAUUUUUACCUCUUUGUUCUGCUUCAGCAUUUUCUUAAGCUAUUUUACCUCGCUCUAUGAGUUAAGGUCUCAAGUGACGGAUAACCUUUUCCCAGCUCCAGCGACAUCCAACAGACACCUGCUUCUAAAGCUUCUGGAAGAUCACCAGAACUGCAAUCAGUAACUUAAUAAGGGUUUGAGCAUGGAAACAGUCAGUUUUGUAUCACAGUCACCAGCCCUGCUGAUCUUAUUACUCCCCAUUUGCAACACCGUGAAUUCUGGGUGCACUUUGUAAGGGAGAUUAUCAUGACGGAUAAAGCUUUCGGAACUGCUAGUCUAGCGCUACUGGCCUUGUUCUGGCAAAACCCCAGUAAGCUUCCAAAGAAAACCCAGCAUCCCUUGAAUCUAGGCGCAACAUCACAACUACUGGCGAGGACAGCUGCUGUUUAGGCAGCCGGCAGACACUGUCCUUUGCCUGCAGCAGCACUGGGGCUCAAUAACAGUGGGUGCUGCUGCUGCUAGUGGUGUGGUAGCGUGUGUAGCGGCACUGGCAAAAACAGGAACUCUAGAAAACACUCUGCUACCAUUACCCAAAGACCUUAAUCUAUCCCAUCUCAAGGACUGCCAUUUAAGUCUGAGUGCCGCAAGCUUUAGUUUCUCAGUGCACACUGUAAUCAAAGUUUCUCGAGAAAGCAAGAGGCUCUAGGAAUGGGAUAAUGGGGGCGCAAGCAGCAACACUAGAGCCAAAUGCCAUGGGCAAGACUGCCUGACUUUGCCAAAAUGGGUAAACUCCAAAACUUAAAAGUACCUGUAACCAGCUUGGAUCAUCAUAACUGUGUCUUAAGAUCCACUCUGACGUUUUGCUUUGGAGUAGUUGAAUAAUGAGUGAAUAAAGUCAACAACGAGAGACACUCACGAAAACUUGUAACUAUUAAAGAAAAAUUAGACUGGCAGGCAAUGCACAGAGGAGUCCUGCUCCUGAUAGCUAUUUUCAUGCAGGACCUCCCUGGUGUUUUGCAUUCCAGUGCUCAUGCCAGAGAUGAAGCCUGGAAAAAUUAAUUGGCCGACUCCUUUGCCAUGAGCUAAGGGAUAAAAAAGCCACCUGUCAUCAGCACAACACUCCACCUCUCUUACUUUUUAAAAUCCAUGGUUUGUUUGCUUUUUAGAUUUCUCUAGGUGUGAAUUCUAAAGCUCCUGGGAGGCUGUCCCUGGCACCACAGGAUUUGUUCCAUCUCCCUCUCAUGAGGGUGAGAGAGAGAUCUGCCUUGAAAGGUCAGCAGCUGGCAGUUCUCCAUGAUCAGACCUGCAACAUCUGAGAAAACAGAGUCCAGAGUAGGAUGGACGAGGGGCUGGAUCUACAGGAUCCAAUGUCCCCUGAAUUUGGGGGAGGGGGACAUUCCAGUCCUGAAGCUACUGUAACUUUCCUCCCACUGGGAGCAAUGAGAGAGGAAGGUUUUUAUUUUUAAAAAAGUCAUACAACUGUAGAACGCCACAUGAAAGACCAUGGUUCAGUGACAGAACAUCUGCUUUGCAUGCAAAAGGUCGCUGGUUCAAUCCCUGACAUCCCUAUGUAGGGAUGGGAGAGAACCAUCCCUGAAAAGACACUGCCAGUAAACAAUGCUCAGCUAGAUGGACUAAUGGUCUGACUCUGUACAAGACAAGUACAAGUGGGUAGGGAAAGUGGGCUUCGCCCUGUCUCACAGAUGUGCUCUGCCCACCAAAACCCAUUUAUCUAAACCAAGCAUUAUUGACAGGAGUGUUGGGUCUGGAAGCCCAGCUGUCUGUCGUUUUAUCUUUUUGUUUCAAUUGUUCUGCAACCAGUGGUUAUAAAUGGCCAUGAAUAUAAUUAUCUAGAAACUGCCAGCUCAUAAGGCACAGGUCUAAUGAUCCAAGUGGACAUUGCAAACAUCAUUGUUUUUGGAAUUGUACCUAAAAUGGCAAAUGGGCAUGUGCAAUACGGCUGCUGACUCCUUCCCUUCUACCACACACACACACCAGCGAUAUUUCAUUGCUCUUACAAAUCUAGAUGGCACCCACCUAGUAAAAUACAUGCAAUUCAAAUCAGCUGAUUAAGUCAUCACUCCUAUUAGUAAAUGGGUGAGAGCAUGUGGGUGUCACCUGCACACAAACAGGCUAGGCACCAAAAUACAUCCAAGGGUAGGCCUGUGGUGGGCCUCUUCAAUUGUGGGGGAGCGUGAAGAAAAGAAAAUUAAGACUCCAGCCUGAGUGGCUUUGGGUGAGGGGCAGAAGGAAGGGAUAAUGUGAGCAGAGGCAGGCGGCGGGUGUGUUUAUGGAGAAGGAGGGAGCUCCAAGCCUAAUCUGACCCCCCCUUGGAGGAUCCUUUAAACUUAGGAAUUGUUCCUUCACAGUUUCUGGGAGCAUGAGGUGGGGGGUCCUCUCCCUGAGUCUUGGCUUUGGGGGCAACGGGAAGCAACAUACACACACCCUUAGGCCCCCACCCCCAAAGCUGUCUUGAGGGCUGGACAGCUUCCACUGCAGCCCCUCUGCUUGAACGGCGCACCAGCCAACGAUAGCAGAGAGGCAGCUAUACUUAGAGCCGGCUCCUUACAGCCAGAAAUAAUGACUGGGUAGUGGAAAAAGAGGAGAGGGUAAAAUGAGGAACAAUAACCCUCCUCCUUCCCCUGCUUUCCUUCUCUCGUUCUGCAACUUUCUACACAGUGCACUUCAAAGAGAAACCUUGUCUUCCCUGGUUAAGCAGGUAUUGCAUGCCUUAUUGGGGUUUUCCUCUUACUCAGCCAAAAUCAAUGAGUGCUAUGCAAAUUCAGGAAGCUGGGCCCAUCGUCCAAAGCCUAAGUUAGGUUCCUGCUAGAGUUAGCUUCCUCCAAUAAGCAUAUUUCGACCCAGAAGACCCUGUCUUUUCCCCCCAGGACAAUGAAGCUCUGCUAUCUUUCUCUCCCCAGCUUUCCAGCACAGGAAAGGUUGCCUCAGCCUGAGCAGAGCCACUCAUGCCUUGAUGUGCCAGUACGGCAGGAACUGCAUGGUGAUCUGAAUACCCCUUGCGUUGUGUGAGAAGACAGCCGCUUUAACCUUCACAGAGCUGGGGAUCCAGAAGGAAUAGCUGCCAUUCACACGGGCCUCUGCUGGGUGGGGGAAAUGGGCAGGCUAUGGUAUUGCAGUGAAAAUGGGCAAGCCAAGUUCUUCACCAAGAAAAGCAGAAUUCUACAAGCUGUGUACAUUACGCAAAUAGUCAUAAUUUAUCUUGCUGCACACAACUCUCUUCUUCUUCUGUUUUUAAUU
rnacentral:lncRNA from 1 species